UACGUAGGGGCCGAGCGUUGUCCGGAUUUAUUGGGCGUAAAGCGCGCGCAGGCGGCCUCGCGCGCCCGACGUGAAAGCCCCCGGCUUAACCGGGGAGGGUCGUUGGGGACGGCGGGGCUUGAGGGCGGGAGAGGGUGGUGGAAUUCCGGGUGUAGUGGUGAAAUGCGUAGAGAUCCGGAGGAACACCAGUGGCGAAGGCGACACGCUGGGCCGUACCUGACACUGAUGCGCGACAGCAUGGGGAGCAAACAGG
rnacentral:rRNA from 1 species